rnacentral:misc_RNA from 1 species
GAUGAAGAACGUAGCGAAAUGCGAUAAGUAGUGUGAAUUGCAGAAUUCAGUGAAUCAUCGAAUCUUUGAACGCACAUUGCGCCCGCCAGUAUUCUGGCGGGCAUGCCUGUUCGAGCGUCAUUUCAACCAUCAAGCCCCCGGCUUGUGUUGGGGACCUGCGGCUGCCGCAGGCCCUGAAAACCAGUGGCGGGCUCGCUAGUCACUCCGAGCGUAGUAAUACAUCUCGCUCAGGGCGUGCUGCGGGUUCCGGCCGUUAAAAAGCCUUAUUUACCCAAGGUUGACCUCGGAUCAGGUAGGAAGACCCGCUGAACUUAAGCAUAUCAAUAAGCGGAGGA